rnacentral:sRNA from 1 species
UAAAGUGAUGCAGUACAGAUAUUCACACGUUGAAAAGAGUGUCACCUUUUGAGAUGGAGCUUUUUUCAAUGUGUGAAUUUUUUUAUGUAAAAAUGAACAUGUUAAUAUUUCUAGGAGGUACCUCAAAUGGAAACUGGAACAGUAAAAUGGUUUAACGCUGAGAAGGGCUUCGGCUUUAUCGAAGUUGAAGGCGGAAAUGACGUAUUCGUACAUUUCAGCGCAAUUACCGGCGAAGGCUUCAAGACGCUGGACGAAGGCCAACGUGUACAAUUCAACGUUGUUCAAGGCAACCGCGGCCCGCAAGCCGAAAACGUAGUCAAACUUUAAUACAGGCUAAACUGCUCUUAAC